GUGCUCACAUCCUCAGCACAUAUAGUAAAAUUAGAAUGAUACAGAGAAAAUUAGCAUGACCCCUGUGCAAGGAUGACAUGCAAAUUCAUGAAGCAUUCCUUAUUUUU